UACGUAGGGUGCAAGCGUUGUCCGGAUUUACUGGGCGUAAAGAGCGCGUAGGCGGUCUGUUAAGUGUGAAGUGAAAUCUCCAGAGCUCAACUCGGAAACUGCUUCGCAUACUGGCAGACUUGAGGGACUGAGAGGUGAAUGGAAUUCCUGGUGUAGCGGUGAAAUGCGUAGAUAUCAGGAGGAACACCCAUGGCGAAGGCAGUUCACUGGCAGUCUCCUGACGCUGAGGCGCGAAAGCGUGGGUAGCAAACAGG
rnacentral:rRNA from 1 species